rnacentral:rRNA from 1 species
GGUUAAGCGACUAAGCGUACACGGUGGAUGCCCUGGCAGUCAGAGGCGAUGAAGGACGUGCUAAUCUGCGAAAAGCGUCGGUAAGGUGAUAUGAACCGUUACAGCCGGCGAUGUCCGAAUGGGGAAACCCAGUGCAAUUCGUUGCACUAUCGUUAACUGAAUACAUAGGUUAACGAGGCGAACCGGGGGAACUGAAACAUCUAAGUACCCCGAGGAAAAGAAAUCAACCGAGAUUCCCCCAGUAGCGGCGAGCGAACGGGGAGCAGCCCGGAGUCUGAAUCAGCUUGUGUGUUAGUGGAAGCGUCUGGAAAGUCGCAGGGUACAGGGUGAUACUCCCGUACACUAAAACACACAGGUUGUGAACUCGAAGAGUAGGGCGGGACACGUGGUAUCCUGUCUGAAUAUGGGGGGACCAUCCUCCAAGG